rnacentral:rRNA from 1 species
AGAGUUUGAUCAUGGCUCAGAAUCAACGCUGGCGGCGUGCCUAACACAUGCAAGUCGAACGCGAAAGCCCCGCAAGGGGUAAGUAGAGUGGCAAACGGGUGAGUAACACGUGGGUGACCUGCCUUCGAGUGGGGGAUAACGUUCCGAAAGGAGCGCUAAUACCGCAUGACAUUCUGCGUUUGGAAACGUGGAAAUUAAAGCCGGGGAUCGCAAGACCUGGCGCUUGAAGAGGGGCCCGCGGCCGAUUAGCUAGUUGGUAGGGUAACGGCCUACCAAGGCAACGAUCGGUAUCCGGCCUGAGAGGGCGGACGGACACACUGGGACUGAGACACGGCCCAGACUCCUACGGGAGGCAGCAGUGGGGAAUUGUUCGCAAUGGGCGCAAGCCUGACGACGCAACGCCGCGUGGAGGACGAAGAUCUUCGGGUCGUAAACUCCUUUCGAUCGGGACGAACGGCUUCCGGGUGAACAAUCCGGAAGAGUGACGGUACCGAGAGAAGAAGCCCCGGCUAACUCCGUGCCAGCCGCCGCGGUAAUAC